rnacentral:rRNA from 1 species
GACGAACGCUGGCGGCGUGCCUAACACAUGCAAGUCAACUUGACUGAAGGAGCAAUCUGACAGUAGAGUGGCGCAAGGGUGCGUAACGCGUAAGUAACUUGCCCAAGGUAAGGAAUAACGUCGAGAAAUCGGCGCUAAUACCUCAUAAUGCAGCGGAUCCGCAUGGAUAUGUUGUUAAAGGUUUACCGCCUUGGGAUAGGCUUGCGUCUGAUUAGCUAGUUGGUGUGGUAACGGCACACCAAGGCUACGAUCAGUAACUGGUCUGAGAGGAUGAUCAGUCACACUGGAACUGAGACACGGUCCAGACUCCUACGGAGGCAGCAGUGAGGAAUAUUGGCAAUGCUCGAAAGAGUGACCCAGCAACGCCGCGUGGAGGAUGAAGGUAUUCUAUAUCGUAAACUCCUGUGAGAGCAGACGAAAGACAGA